GAAAUGCGAUACUUGGUGUGAAUUGCAGAAUCCUGUGAACGAUCGAGUCUUUGAAUGCAAGUUAUGCCCGAAGCCAUUAGGUUGAGGGCACGUCUGCCUGGGCGUCUCACGUUGCGUCGCCCAUACCCCCUCCCCCAAGAAGGGAAGGGUUGCAGGCGGAUGUUGGCCCGCACAAGCGCGCCCGCGCGCGGUUGCCCUAAAAAUGAGUCCCCCGUAACAGACGACGUGUCGCGACGAGUGUUGGUUGACAAACCGUUGGAUCGCCUCACGCGCGUCCGAGUCAUCGCUGGAGGUUUGUUAUGACCCUAUCGCGCCACUGCCAAGGUGCUCCGAUCACGACCCCAGGUCAGGCAAGAUUACCCACUGAGUUUAA
rnacentral:misc_RNA from 1 species